AGACAGAGGGCGGCCAAGGAAAACAACCUGAAAUGCUUGACCGUGGGUACUGGCAUAUCAUCAGGACGGACCGACCACACAGGCAGUCAUUAAAUCUAUGUGGCAAAAUCCUAAUUAUCAGGGAAAAUAUUUCCAAUCCUUUGAGUAAGAGAGAUAAGUAUUACAUGUAAUUUGAGUCUGUCAAAAAUGUUCUCUCUGGGACAGCAUCAGGAGAACAUGGAGAAACAGCUAAAGGCAUCGGGAAUGUUCUCAAUGAGAUGGUUACAGAAAAGUUCCCCCGUAUCAGAAAUGAGACAGACAUCAACACUCAGGAGCUUGCAGGAGCCCAAGUAGACAAGAUCAGAAGAGAAAUUCUUCACGGCAUGUCUUCCUCCAAAUGCCUUACCUAGAAAAUAAGGAAGGAAUAUUAAAAGCUGUGAGGGAAAAAAAUGACAUUUUUUUUUUAUAUUUAGAGGCAAACCAAUGAGGUUCACCUCUGACUCCCCGUAAAAUCAAGGAAAGCCUGGAAAGAAAUAUUCCAAGCUCUAAAAGUAAACAACUUCUGGCCAAGAUUUUUUUUUUUAAUAUCCAGCAAAGCUCUUUUUCAAAAUCAAUG
rnacentral:lncRNA from 1 species